rnacentral:rRNA from 1 species
CCGUGGGGUAGGUUCAGCUUUGUCGUGUGGGUGACCACACGGUGUGACUCUCCCUACCGGACCGGCCCAACGUGGCCGGCGCUCGGCCGAGGAUCCCACCGUGGGGGCCGGCUACGGUUGUCCCACCCACCGGGGACCCCCGCGGUGCCAUCACCGCUGGGAUAGCCUCCCCGGAAAAGUCCCGGCUAAAUUCGUGCCAGCAGCCGCGGUAACACGGAAGGGGCAAGCGUUACUCGUACGGACUGGGUGUAAAGCGUUUGUAGGUGAAACCCCGACGGGGGGGUACCGGGUGAGAACCCCGCCGUGCCCCCCGCACCGGGUGGGGUCACCACCAAGUUCAACGUACUCUUGAUGGAGGGGUGGAAUCCACAGAGAUCAAUGGGGACGUUCCAACGCGAAAGCAUUGUAGCUGGGGUGUACCGCCACUGAAAAACGAAAGCGUGGGGAGCCAACCGGAUUAGAUACCCGGGUAGUCCACGCCGUCAACGAUGGGUACCACCGGUUGCCACCGGAACGCUAACGCGGGAGUACCCCACCUGAGUAGUACGGCGGCAACGCUGAAAUUCAAAGAGAUUGACGGAGGCCAACAAAAGUGGUGGAACAUGUGGUUUAAUCCGAUACAACGCGUAACACCUUACCACGGGUCGAUAUCACCCUGGACCCCGCCGGUGUGGACGGUCCCGCCAGGAGAGCCGGAGUUGCAUGGCUGUCGUCAGUUCGUGCCGUAAGGUGUUUGGUUUAGUCCUUUCAACGAACGCAAUCCGCCCGGGGUGUUAUCCAUCCCGGUCCCACUGAGGUUUGGUGAUCGCGCCGCGGCUGGGGCCGAGCUCCUACGCCGGGGUCACCACUCAAACGGAAUCACCCGGAAGACGUCAAGUCGUCAUGGCCCUUAUCCCGUGGGCAACACA